rnacentral:rRNA from 1 species
CCUACGGGAGGCAGCAGUGGGGAAUAUUGCACAAUGGGCGAAAGCCUGAUGCAGCAACGCCGCGUGAGGGACGACGGCCUUCGGGUUGUAAACCUCUUUUGGCAGGGAAGAAGCGAAAGUGACGGUACCUGCAGAAAAAGCACCGGCUAACUACGUGCCAGCAGCCGCGGUAAUACGUAGGGUGCAAGCGUUGUCCGGAAUUAUUGGGCGUAAAGAGCUCGUAGGCGGUUUGUCGCGUCUGCUGUGAAAACGCAAGGCUCAACCUUGCGCCUGCAGUGGGUACGGGCAGACUAGAGUGUGGUAGGGGAGAUUGGAAUUCCUGGUGUAGCGGUGGAAUGCGCAGAUAUCAGGAGGAACACCGAUGGCGAAGGCAGAUCUCUGGGCCAUUACUGACGCUGAGGAGCGAAAGCGUGGGGAGCGAACAGGAUUAGAUACCCUGGUAGUCCACGCCGUAAACGUUGGGAACUAGAUGUGGGGUCCAUCACGAGUCGUCGUCGCNGCUACGCAUUAACGUUACCCGUCCGUCGGGAGGUACGGCCGCGACGGACGUAAACUACGAAGAAGUAGACGGCGUGAGACGUCGCCGAACGGACGACGACGAGGGAGGUAGG